rnacentral:lncRNA from 1 species
GUCUCCUGUUUCUGUCUCUCCACAUUCAGCCCAACCUUUUCCUUCCUUCUUCCCUUCAAGCAGUUGUGUCCUACCACAUCUCUUAUUAGGAGGUCAGUACCUCUGCUACCUCUGACUUAACAGAUGAUAACUGAGAGAGGAUGGUUCCAAUGGCUCCAGCAACUUCCCUUUCUUUCAAUUGCAUGAGAAUCUAUGUCAGGACUUUAACUUCAGGCCUCUGUAAAUAAGGGCGAAGGAGGUAAAGAAUGCAAAGCUGCCAUCUACACGUAAAUUCCGGAUUCCGAAAUCUCGUACAGGUUCAAAGGAGCCUUGCAGUGGCCUGCGUGCAACAUUAAAAGAAGAGGUGAGACCCAGCAGGACAGCGGUUGGUGAACACCGCCUCCUCCCCCCCCGACUACAUCAUGACGCAGGAAGUCACAGCAUCAGCUAUGACUGGGUUGGAACUAUUGGAAGAUACUGUGGGCAGUUGUUUUCAAUUUGGAUCAUUGUGAAAAACUUUCUGGGUCAGGAUGUCCCAGGACUCUCAAGAAGUGGGUGGGGGCGCCAUGAAGUCCAUGGCAUUCCUUACGGUUCCCCUGGUCCCUGUGUGCCGUCUUCUUCAUUUGCAUUACCCCAGAGUCCGGGGGCCAUGGUCACUUGGGAGAAUGUGGCUUUAGAGCCACAUAAACUCCCAUCCUCAAAAAGAGCUGGGUACUGCAACAGGUUGGGUAACACCAGGCCAAACCAAGUUGAGACAAACCUGUCUAUACCGCAGGUCUCCUCAGAGCCUUGGGCAUGCGAUUCCCACCAGGACUCUCCCAGAGGAGGACAGCCAAGGCAGCUGCUUUUCCACCUGCUUCUGGCCUUCUCUCUCCCCACUCCCUGCCUCGCCUGCAAAUGGAGAAAACCUUCGGAACACAGGUUGGUAAAAGGCAGAGACAGGAAGAAAGACCUCACCUCACUGAAGCUGAAGUUCCCAAACAGCCACCUGAAAGUGAUGCCUUCUGGCCUGAGCAGCCCACUCUGGCACUGAUUCUAGAAAAGAAAGCCUUGAGAUUGUGUGCAGCUCUGCGAACAAGAACUUAUAAUUCUAUGUGUGAAAGCCUGCUGUCAAGUCCAGCAAAAACGCCAUGCCCUUGGUAUGUGCAGCUGCCGCCAACUUGGCUGGCACCCAGCGGGCACACGUCACCAUUCUACCAGCCUCUGAUAGCGAGGAGAGGAGGCUGGGAACCACAGGAGCAGCUCAGCUCCAUCCAGGGGAGCAAAUCAUGGGCGGCUCUAAAGUUCAGGUUCGGGAGUUUGUGGGCCUUGAGCAGAUUUCCGUUUGGUUCUCUCUCCGUGUUUUUGGAGGACACCAUGUCAUCAUAGUCAUGACUGAUGUCCUUAUGAGCUGUGUGGGAGCCCGUGAUGACAACGAUAAAAAGACUGAGGCAAUUACCCAGUUCAGCUAGGCUGAGCGCCUCUAUUAAUCUCAGCUCCACAAAACUGGCUUUCUCCUUGCAGUGGAGCUCAUCUGUUAACAAACGGCUGUAUAAUAGUAAUAAAAAAAAAAACCCCACUGAUGCAAAGCAGAGGAUGAUUCUGUCCUGAAGCCUAUACGUGCUCUCUGACAAUGAACAGCCCAGAUAAACUGUGACAGGUCACGAUUACCUCAAAGUGUCUAAAUAUGUCUGAGCCUUGUGGAAUAAAAUGCGUAAAUCUGAGUGGCCAUCAGGGCAGUGGAA